CCUACGGGUGGCAGCAGUAGGGAAUCUUCCACAAUGGGCGAAAGCCUGAUGGAGCAACGCCGCGUGGGUGAAGAAGGUCUUCGGAUCGUAAAACCCUGUUGUUAGAGAAGAAAGUGCGUGCGAGUAACUGUUCACGUUUCGACGGUAUCUAACCGGAACGCCACGGCUAACUACGUGCCAGCAGCCGCGGUAAUACGUAGGUGGCAAGCGUUAUCCGGAUUUAUUGGGCGUAAAGGGAACGCAGGCGGUCUUUUAAGUCUGAUGUGAAAGACUUCGGCUUAACCGGAGUAGUGCAUCGGAAACUGGGAGACGUGAGUGCAGAAGAGGAGAGCGGAAAUCGAUGUGUAGCGGUGAAAUGCGUAGAUAUAAGGAAGAACACCAGUGGCGAAAGCGGCUUUCUGGUCUGCAACUGACGCUGAGGCUCGAAAGCGUGGGUAGCAAACAGGAUUAGAUACCCGGGUAGUC
rnacentral:rRNA from 1 species